UACGAAGGGGGCUAGCGUUGCUCGGAAUCACUGGGCGUAAAGCGCACGUAGGCGGAUCUUUAAGUCAGGGGUGAAAUCCUGGAGCUCAACUCCAGAACUGCCUUUGAUACUGGGGAUCUCGAGUCCGGGAGAGGUGAGUGGAACUGCGAGUGUAGAGGUGAAAUUCGUAGAUAUUCGCAAGAACACCCGUGGCGAAGGCGGCUACUCUGGGACGGUACUGACGCUGAGACGCGAAAGCGUGGGGAGCGAACAGG
rnacentral:rRNA from 1 species